rnacentral:rRNA from 1 species
CAGAGGUUACUGCUAUCGAGAUUCGACUAAGCCAUSCGCAGUUGAAUGUUCUUCGUGAACAUGGCGGACUGCUCAGUAACACGUGGACAACCUACCCUUGGGUCCGGCAUAAUCCUGGGAAACUGGGAAUAAUUCCGGAUAGGUCACCGAUGCUGGAAUGCGCGGUGGCCGAAAGCUCCGGCGCCCGAGGAUGGGUCUGCGGCCUAUCAGGGUUGUAGUGGGUGUAACGUACCUACUAGCCUACGACGGGUACGGGUUGUGAGAGCAAGAGCCCGGAGAUGGAUUCUGAGACACGAAUCCAGGCCCUACGGGGUGCAGCAGGCGCGAAAACUUUACAAUGCGGGAAACCGUGAUAAGGGGAUCUCGAGUGCCAGCAUAUAAUGUUGGCUGUCCAGAUGCCUAAAAAGCAUCUGUUAGCAAGGGCCGGGCAAGACCGGUGCCAGCCGCCGCGGUAACACCGGCGGCCCGAGUGGUAACCGCUAUUAUUGGGUCUAAAGGGUCUGUAGCCGGCCAGGUAAGUCCCUUGGGAAAUCUGGCAGCUCAACUGUCAGGCUGCUAGGGGAUACUGUUUGGCUUGGGACCGGGAGAGGUGAGAGGUACCUUGGGGGUAGGGGUGAAAUCUUGUGAUCCUCGAGGGACCACCAGUGGCGAAGGCGUCUCACCAGAACGGGUCCGACGGUAAGGGACGAAAGCUAGGGGCACGAACCGGAUUAGAUACCCGGGUAGUCCUAGCCGUAAACGAUGCUCGCUAGGUGUCAGUCACGGUGCGACCGUGAUUGGUGCCGUAGGGAAGCCGUGAAGCGAGCCACCUGGGAAGUAUGGCCGCAAGGCUGAAACUUAAAGGAAUUGGCGGGGAGMRCACKMCRACGGGUGGAGCCUGCGGUUUAUG